UGGGACUAUCACAAAGGGCGAGUUCUCUGUCAUGGAGUUCCGGUCACUUAGCAAUGGUGUUGCACUGGAUAAGUUACUUUACUGGGUUUCGAGUAUAGAGUGUAAAUCAAGUCACCCAAUGGCAUCUGCACUUGUUGACUACGCCCGGAUGAAAUCUGUUGAACCGGAACCUGAGAAUGUGAGUGAGUUUCAGAUCUUUCCUG
rnacentral:misc_RNA from 1 species